rnacentral:rRNA from 1 species
UACGUAGGGUGCAAGCGUUAAUCGGAAUUACUGGGCGUAAAGCGUGCGCAGGCGGUUAUGUAAGACAGGUGUGAAAUCCCAGGGCUUAACCUUGGAACUGCAUUUGUGACUGCAUAGCUAGAGUACGGUAGAGGGGGAUGGAAUUCCGCGUGUAGCAGUGAAAUGUGUAGAUAUGCGGAGGAACACCGAUGGCGAAGGCAAUCCCCUGGACCUGUACUGACGCUCAUGCACGAAAGCGUGGGGAGCAAACAGGAUUAGAAACCCCUGUAGU